CAGUAGGACAACCGGAAGCGCCUGAGUAAGAAUUUCGGCGCUCAGUGAUACGGUUCACUAGACGACGUUGUCAACACGUAAUGGCGGCCAUUAUUUGACGUCGGAUUUGGCAUUCCACGUUGAAAAGUUGCAUUUAUGACAUUCUUGGAUGCUUAAACUUUGUGCCACACAACAUAAAAGAUAAAGCUUUAUUCCAGAUAUUGCAGGUAAUUAUUUUCAAAGAAGUCGUAUCCCAAGAAAUGAUUUAAACGGC
rnacentral:lncRNA from 1 species